rnacentral:rRNA from 1 species
GGCUAAUACAUGCAAGUCGAGCGAACGGACGAGAAGCUUGCUUCUCUGAUGUUAGCGGCGGACGGGUGAGUAACACGUGGAUAACCUACCUAUAAGACUGGGAUAACUUCGGGAAACCGGAGCUAAUACCGGAUAAUAUUUUGAACCGCAUGGUUCAAAAGUGAAAGACGGUCUUGCUGUCACUUAUAGAUGGAUCCGCGCUGCAUUAGCUAGUUGGUAAGGUAACGGCUUACCAAGGCAACGAUGCAUAGCCGACCUGAGAGGGUGAUCGGCCACACUGGAACUGAGACACGGUCCAGACUCCUACGGGAGGCAGCAGUAGGGAAUCUUCCGCAAUGGGCGAAAGCCUGACGGAGCAACGCCGCGUGAGUGAUGAAGGUCUUCGGAUCGUAAAACUCUGUUAUUAGGGAAGAACAUAUGUGUAAGUAACUGUGCACAUCUUGACGGUACCUAAUCAGAAAGCCACGGCUAACUACGUGCCAGCAGCCGCGGUAAUACGUAGGUGGCAAGCGUUAUCCGGAAUUAUUGGGCGUAAAGCGCGCGUAGGCGGUUUUUUAAGUCUGAUGUGAAAGCCCACGGCUCAACCGUGGAGGGUCAUUGGAAACUGGAAAACUUGAGUGCAGAAGAGGAAAGUGGAAUUCCAUGUGUAGCGGUGAAAUGCGCAGAGAUAUGGAGGAACACCAGUGGCGAAGGCGACUUUCUGGUCUGUAACUGACGCUGAUGUGCGAAAGCGUGGGGAUCAAACAGGAUUAGAUACCCUGGUAGUCCACGCCGUAAACGAUGAGUGCUAAGUGUUAGGGGGUUUCCGCCCCUUAGUGCUGCAGCUAACGCAUUAAGCACUCCGCCUGGGGAGUACGACCGCAAGGUUGAAACUCAAAGGAAUUGACGGGGACCCGCACAAGCGGUGGAGCAUGUGGUUUAAUUCGAAGCAACGCGAAGAACCUUACCAAAUCUUGACAUCCUUUGACAACUCUAGAGAUAGAGCCUUCCCCUUCGGGGGACAAAGUGACAGGUGGUGCAUGGUUGUCGUCAGCUCGUGUCGUGAGAUGUUGGGUUAAGUCCCGCAACGAGCGCAACCCUUAAGCUUAGUUGCCAUCAUUAAGUUGGGCACUCUAAGUUGACUGCCGGUGACAACCGGAGGAAGGUGGGGAUGACGUCAAUCAUCAGCCCCUAUGAUUUGGGCUACACACGUGCUACAAUGGACAAUACAAAGGGCAGCGAAACCGCGAGGUCAAGCAAAUCCCAUAAAGUUGUUCUCAGUUCGGAUUGUAGUCUGCAACUCGACUACAUGAAGCUGGAAUCGCUAGUAAUCGUAGAUCAGCAUGCUACGGUGAAUACGUUCCCGGGUCUUGUACACACCGCCCGUCACACCACGAGAGUUUGUAACACCCGAAGCCGGUGGAGUAACCUUUUAGGAGCUAGCCGUUCGAAGGUUGGACAAA